UAUAUUAAUGGAAAUAUUACAUUUAGUCAAAAUCUGUAAAAUUCUUACAAAUAAGUCUAACCUGAUCUUUUUAAAAAUUUUCAUUGCAGGAAUGUAAGCUGCAACACAGCUACUCUUGGUGCAGACAGUUUUCCAAAGAAGAUAUUCCAUGCUUGGUAUAGCCAAGUAUGACGAAUCCCUCCUGCUCCUUUUUCUCCAACAAAACCACUGGAGGAGUUGUUUGCCCUCUUUAUUUUCAAAGUAUCUUCUCAGUCAAGUACAUUUCAAUGAAGGAUGAGCUUCUCCAAAAGCCUUUGUACGUUGCAGAAAGAUCAGAAGAGCCAUCUUUUUCCUCCCUUAACUGGACUGACACAAAAGAACCUGGGCUAUAUUGCCUUCCAGGUCAUCUCCAUUCAGUCUCAGGGAAACAGGACAUUGGCCACAGUCAGAGACAAGGCUUCUGUGGGGAUUUUACACCCCUGCAAGCUCCACAUCAGCAGUCCCUUCUCCACUAGAGCAUUUUAAAACAUUUGUUGGAUGAACAGGUUGUUAGUGAUGCUCUGGCCUUUCACUCUUCUGGGUACUGGCAGCUAACAGAAUGCUACAGAGAAUGGGGAAUACAGGGAUUUAAAAGGGCUAGAUCUCACACAAACAUAAUCAUCAUGGAGAACUUGGAGAGGCACAGCAGAGAGUGCAAUGGCUUCCCAUGGAGUGAACAGCUGGAGAAUGAUAACAUGGCCAGAUCCACCAUCAGAGGAGCAACAGGACUUUGCUCUGUACUAGGCACACCACAGCAUUCACCAGAAUAUCUGCACAUGUGAUUAAAUUAAAUAUGAUCACAAGUUAAGACACUUCUUUGGACCAGCUCUAGGUUCCAGCAUG